GUCAUUUCCAUGUGCACUGGGACGGGAAGUCAAACGAGGAAUUUAAAAAAGCAAAAGUUGACCGAAGAUGGGCCUAGGCCGGUGUCGGUUCUGUUUCUCCCCUUGGCUGCCUGUACGCCCACAGCCUUCUGGCUGCGACAUUAUAGAAUCGGCCGUGUCCCCCCUGGUGGGGGAUUGGGGAUCUGUGUUUAGCCAUUUAUAUCUACUUUAGCUGUUAAAGAGGUCCAAAUGAAAAUCAGGUGAUUGUGGAACCAUGGGGACUUGGGGGUGGGGCAGAGGUGGGAACAUUUGUAUCAGUUGAGUCAGCUUGGUGGCUCCCUGUGGAGCCAGGGCUGAGCCUUGUCACGCGCACUCGCCAAUUAAGAGAUGGACCAGCCAGCAGUCAAGUGCAUUCUCCAGUCCUUGCAAGAAGGAUCAGCCCUUUCUGUGCCAGCCUCGAUCGCCUUGUGCUUUGGUCUCUUUUUCUCCCCCCCGCCUGGAUCCUGCCUCGCGCGGGCCGUCCUGUUGCUGAGACUCGGGGUACCGUUCUGCUGACCCAGCUCCCUUUAGUCACGUUUGCUUGGCUCUGGUACCAAAUAGUUGGGAUUACCGAAGAGUCCCCUUCCUUGCGUGUCAGCACGGAUGCUGUGACUGCCACCUGCGUCCUCGUCAAGUGCCCGAGCUCGCCGCCGUGUGUGCUGCGCUGAGUGAGUUAUGAGGUGCCUUUCCCGGAACCCUCCUCUCGCCUGGACCCAAGAGAGGCGACAGCUGUGGCUGGGGCUCUUGGUUUCCAGAGGGUCUGGA
rnacentral:lncRNA from 1 species